rnacentral:lncRNA from 1 species
CUUUUCUAAACCAGCCCUAGAACCAGAAACAAUACCCACUUCAACAGCCUCAAGGCACAUUAAGGGGUGUUUCAGGUUGGGGGCUUGCCUGCGUGUCUGACCCUUGGCAAACUUCAGUAUCUCCCUUGCCUCUCCAAGAGGAGGCAACUUAUCAGUCUUUAAAACACUAGAAACCCAUGGUUUUUUUCUCUCGGCUAUGUCAAGAGCCCAGCGACGAGCAGCGUUUAGUAACUCGGCAGGUGGCACGACAGCAUCAACAAGGCCCAAUGAAUGACCUUGCUCAGCUUUAACCGGCUUAGAUGUCUAUAAAUUUAAACAAAAUAAAUAUCGUUACGAUUUUAAACAAAGCAGAGUAACCCUACCAUAAGAAUAAGGCACUGACGACGUACCAAAAUCAUCUCAAGGGCUUUUGUAAGACCAACAAGACGUGGAAGACGCUGUGUUCCUGCAUCAAAUCCAAAGUAGCAUAAUUAAGAAAGUAAAGAACGGAAGUGACUAGAUUCUUUCAACAUAAACAUGAAUCACAUAUCCCAUGUUUUCAGUUCUUAUGCCAAAAACAUAUGAUUGUUCCAUAGGAUUCACAGUUUCUAGCUUCUAUAUGAUCAAAAUCUGUAUUCUGCCGCAAAAACAUUAAUAAUUUGACAAUUAAGUACCUCCAAACCCAGGAAUAACACCGAGUUGCAGCUCCGGCAGACCUAACUGUGCACCAGGGGCUGAGAUCCUUGCAUGGCAAGCCUGAAACAAAAAUAAAAAAAUACAAUUGUAUCAACAUCCACCCUAAUAAAUAAUGUUCACCAGACUCGGCAGUUUCUAGAGGAGUUUUGAGUAUAUAACAUAGAAAGUCUACCAUGGCGAGCUCUAACCCUCCUCCCAAGGCAAGCCCAUCAAUGGCAGCAACAGACGGUUUUUUUGCAGCUGAAAUCCAAAGAAAUUAAUAGACCACUCAGAAAUAAUAAAUCACCAGAACCAUUGAAGGUAUUCAUUCACCUUCAAGCAAAUCGGUGAUGAUGUCAAUUGAUAUGUAUCCAGGCUUUGGCGCUUUUCCUGAGAAAAUAAGCAGUAUACAUUACUACAAACACUAAUACAAUCAGCAAAGAUACCAAGAGACACUGAAAACGUUACUUGUCCCUUUCUGAAUAUCACCAAAACCAGAUAUAUCAAAUCCACCAGAGAACCUCCCCCUCAAUAAUCUCCUUUUCCGACAGUUUUGCCAGCUGCAAGAAGCCACAACAAUCAGUCAGAGUGAGAUCUUCCCAAAUGCAAAAAUGAAGAUCUUUACCUUAGGGUCAAGGUUCACUCCUGAUACGCUCCUUGCCUUCUCGAUAUAUUUCUUAAUCUCAGGAUCAGGUUUAGCCUUUCGCUUUUCAUCAUAAAGAUAGAAACCUUUACGCGUGGCUUCACCUGAAAUCAACAGGAAAGUUCACAAGAUUUACCAAAAAUAUGUUAAAUCAAUAAAAACAUUAUAUAGCUGUCCUCUCUGAUAUACCAGCUCUCUUGUCCUCUUGCAUGAGUGGGAUAAUCAUUGAUUUGUUUGUCCUUUCUGGAAAGUUCUCGAUGAAUUGCGUAGCGGUUGCAAUCGCCACACCGAAUCCAACCAAAUCGCACAAUCUUACUCAUUCAUAUAAGGAACAAAAGUAUUAACAAAAGGUGUACGAGAGAUUCACAUGGUUCUUUAAAAUGUGAUAUACUACCUGAAGGGACCCAUUGGCAUUCCAAACUUGCUGACUGCCUUGUCAAUCAGAUAUGGAUCUGUUCCACGUUCAACAAGGAACAUAGCUGCCUGUGUGUAUGGAAAGAACAUCCUGUUAACUGCAAACCCUGUGCAGUUUCCCACCACCACUGGCGUUUUCUUGAUCUUCUUCCCAACAUCUAACAGGUCAACAAUUACUUGUGCACAUGUAUGAUUGGUCCGAACUAUUUCAAGUAGUGGCAUGACAUGUGCCGGACUGCAUCAUAAAAAUGAAUAUAGACAUGAUUCGUCUAGAGCGAGUAAAAACACUACAAGCAUAAGACUUCAUCCAAACUGCAACGGAUUAAGUAAGCACCUGAAAAAAUGUGCUCCAAUAAUCCGAUCCUGGGACUUGGUCCGCUCCCCAAUUUUGUUCAAAUCAAUGGUAGAUGUGUUGCUAGCAAGGAUACAAUGUUGAGGACAGUACUUCUCUAGAUCAGCAAAUAUUUUCUGUUUCAAAGAUAUAUUCUCAAUGACAGCCUGUCCAAGCCACCAAAAAGACAUUAAACAAAGUCAAUCACUUAGCUUGCCAUGUAGAAAACAACUUCAGCUUCACUAUGCUCAUUAUUACCUCGAUGACCAUGUCCACAUCCCUAAAGCUUUCAUAGUCAAGAGAACCCUUAAGGAGUGACAUGGUUUUCUCAAACCUUUCCUGUGUCAUCCUUCCUUUCUUUACACUGCUCUGAAGAUUAGCUGAUUAAAUUAAUGAAAUUAGUCAUAUCAAGCUUUUUUUUUCAAUUCGUUGGUAAGCAAUGUAGAGAAAUCAAUCCCCACCUUUGACCCUGCCAAGUCCAGCCUCCAAGAACUUCUCAUUUACCUCCUUGAGAAUCACUGGAUAGUUGCUGAGGAUCAAUGCAGUGGCAAUUCCAGAUCCCAUUAACCCGCCUCCAAUUAUGGCUACCUUUUUAAUCUUCCUUGGCACCAACCCGCGAUCAGUAACUCCAGGAACCUGUCCAUAAGAUAUUAGAUUGGAAAGAAUCAAAAAUAGAGGAAAAGCUAAUAGUUACUAUUUUGUAAAAAAGAAAAUGAAACCAGAGUUUGGUAGUACAUAAGUCUAAAUGACAUGACUGCAUAAACACUCACAAACCUUUGUAGUUCCUCGCUGAGAAAAGAAGACAUGGAUCAAGCUUUUGGUGGUAUCCAGCUUAACCACUUGUGAGGAGAUUAGAGCCUCCUAUAAGUGACAAUGUGAUGGAAAUUCGUAAAAGGUUAGUACACUCAGGGGAAACGUUUCAAAACAUAUAAUGCAGAUACGACAAGAUAGUAAUAUACCUUUUCUAAACCAGCCCUAGAACCAGAAACAAUACCCACUUCAACAGCCUCAAGGCACAUUAAGGGGUGUUUCAGGUUGGGGGCUUGCCUGCGUGUCUGACCCUUGGCAAACUUCAGUAUCUCCCUUGCCUCUCCAAGAGGAGGCAACUUAUCAGUCUUUAAAACACUAGAAACCCAUGGUUUUUUUCUCUCGGCUAUGUCAAGAGCCCAGCGACGAGCAGCGUUUAGUAACUCGGCAGGUGGCACGACAGCAUCAACAAGGCCCAAUGA